rnacentral:rRNA from 1 species
UAUCAAUAAGCGGAGGAAAAGAAACUAACCAGGAUUCCCCUAGUAACGGCGAGUGAACAGGGAUUAGCCCAGCACCGAAGGUUGCGUUUGUUUAAGCGUUGACCAAUGUGGUGUUUAGGUUGCUACUUUUGAUUAUCGUUUCUGUUCAAAGUCCAAUCUUGAAUAUGGCAUUUUGUUUGGCCCGGAGAGGGUGAAAGGCCCGUAUGGACAGAACGGUUUUCAACUGUUGUAACUAUGGAGUCGGGUUGUUUGAGAAUGCAGCCCAAAGUUGGUGGUAAACUCCAUCUAAGGCUAAAUACUGGCACGAGUCCGAUAGCGAACAAGUACCGUGAGGGAAAGUUGAAAAGUACUCUGAAGAGAGAGUUAACAGUGCGUGAAACCGCUUAGAGGCAAACGGGUGUAGUCAAGCUGCAAGCCUUGGUAAAUAGUGGGGUCAGUAUGACGUGAGUCUGAGCACAUAUAGCUGGUUUAUAGAUCUGUCCGCAAGGUCGGGUUCGGUUUGAAAGAGUCGAAUUUGCGUAGCGGCUUUUGUCGUUGCAAGUCUAUUUACUUGUUGCUUAGCUGGCCCUAUCACUUUAACUUGGCGUAUGUCAUGACCGUCGUUGCUGCCGGUCUGCUUUGUCUAAACUAUGUUGUGAGUAGUCUUGUGCUACUUGCAUUAUGGGGGCAGGUAACUAAUUUAGAGCAAUCUUGAUUAGUAUAAUUUGCUGGGCAGAGUGGUACCUGUAACUGUGCAGUGCGACGUAGGUAUCGGUGCGUUGUGUUACGGGGUGCGCUAUAGUUUGUUGGCGUUAUUUGAGUUUGGCGGUUUGUUGCUACCAUUGGUGGCCUGAUUGUGACUCUGUAACGGUUUAACGAACGGAUGUGCCCGGUCGACCUCUGCGUUGUGCCUAUAGUCUGUGGCGUAAGUGGUAGACGAUCCACCCCGA